rnacentral:tRNA from 1 species
GGAAAUACGCUAAAGCUGGAGAGUUAGGUCGGUCUGUAAAACCGUUGUCUUUGACUGAGUAGGUUCGAAUCCUACUAUUUCCA